rnacentral:rRNA from 1 species
AAGUUCGAAUGGGGAGAUUCAUCGUCAGCGACACUGGCCUCACGAUGGCUCGUGAUAUCGCGGGACUUCGGUUCCGCGGUACGCGGUCGUCGCGUUACGUCCGGUGUCGUCGGCGUGCACUUCUCCCCUAGUAGGACGUCGCGACCCGUUGGGUGCCGAUCUACGGUCCGAGUGGGUGUCUGUCGCGUCGUUUCGACGCACGCGGCAAACCCUCGGUCGCCAGUAUCGGCUGCCCGGCGGUACUCCCAUGGUAUCGGGCCGCAAUUCUACGAACUGCGUCGGGCCCGCCGCAAGCUCGGUCAGCGUCUCGCGGAGGUACGGACUACGCGCCGUCCCCGUGCCUGGCCAGCUGUUGGCAGGCGGAAUCCUCUGACAGGCCAAAAACAAUCGAAAGUGUGAUACCGGUCGGCGACGCUACUGCUUUGGGUAAUCUCAGGACCCGUCUUGAAACACGGACCAAGGAGUCUAACAUGUGCGCGAGUCAUUGGGGUCGCAAACCUAAAGGCGAAAUGAAAGUGAAGGUCGUCCUAACAACGACCGAGGGAGGAUGGGCCGCGUCACGAUGCGGCUUCGCACUCCCGGGGCGUCUCGUUCUCAUCCGAGAAGAGGCGCACCCAGAGCGUACACGUUGGGACCCGAAAGAUGGUGAACUAUGCCUGGUCAGGACGAAGUCAGGGGAAACCCUGAUGGAGGUCCGUAGCGAUUCUGACGUGCAAAUCGAUCGUCGGAA